UAGCGAAGGGGGCUAGCGUUGCUCGGAAUUACUGGGCGUAAAGCGCACGUAGGCGGCUCUUUAAGUCGGAGGUGAAAUCCUGGAGCUCAACUCCAGAACUGCCUUCGAUACUGAAGAGCUCGAGUCCGGGAGAGGUGAGUGGAACUGCGAGUGUAGAGGUGAAAUUCGUAGAUAUUCGCAAGAACACCAGUGGCGAAGGCGGCUCACUGGCCCGGUACUGACGCUGAGGUGCGAAAGCGUGGGGAGCAAACAGGG
rnacentral:rRNA from 1 species